GGCGAACCGUCCAAACGUUAUUCGGAAUUACUGGGCUUAAAGGGUGCGUAGGCGGCGCGGAAAGUUGGGUGUGAAAUCCCUCGGCUCAACCGAGGAACUGCGCCCAAAACUACCGUGCUCGAGGGAGAUAGAGGUGAGCGGAACUUAGGGUGGAGCGGUGAAAUGCGUUGAUAUCCUAAGGAACACCCGUGGCGAAAGCGGCUCACUGGGUCUCUUCUGACGCUGAGGCACGAAAGCUAGGGUAGCGAACGGG
rnacentral:rRNA from 1 species